ACAAGAGGCGCCUUAACCGUGGCUCGUCGGACAGUUUUUUUUUCAGGCAUAUUUCUAGAUUGGCUUAACGCGUGCAGUCUGCUGUCUGCACGCGUAUAUGUAGGGAACGCUUUAACAAUUUUGCUAAAGUUGUCCUCCAGGUUACAGGAAAAGAUGUUCCUCAAUACAUAACAUCAUUCUAAAAAGCAGGCCUGCGCCCAGUACUACUUCGAAACAUUAAAAAUUCUGGCUAUAUAAAACCAACACCUUUUCAGAAAGCUUCAGUUGCAGGCGGCGUACUUGGUACUGGUUAUGAAGAUAUUGUUAGAACAAGGUGUUGCUGGUGCAUCUCAUCCCAUGGUUCAAAAGACAGAGGUUGUAACUGUCGCACCCACUCGGGAAUUGGCCAUUCAAAUUCACCGGGAGGCGUGUAAAUUCUCCUACAAUUCGGUUUUAAAAUCUGUGAAUAUAUAUGAAGGAACUGUCACGAGCCAUCAGCGGUCAAAUCUUCAAGCUGGGUGCAAUACUCUUGUCGCGACCGCGGGGCGACUCAAGGAUUUUCUCGACCGUGGAGUAUUUGACUUCACGGGGGUCAGGUUUAAAUUUUGGACGAAGCUGAUCGAAUGCUUGAUACGGGUUUCGGCCCCAAUAUUGGAAAAAUUGUCAACCAUCCAACGAAAGAAUCCGUCGUAUUUGUAUGUUUUCGGCUACAUUCCCAGAUGAAGUACAAGCGCUGGCUGCGACGUACAUGGAAGACGACAUAUUCGUCACAACAGGCGUUGUCGGUGGCACCAAUCCGGAUGUGGAACAGCUGUUUUUUCAGUGCACAAAAGAGAUAAGAGAGCUAAGCUGAUCGAAAUUUUACAAGAUCUCGGUGAUGCCAAGACUAUCGUUUUUGUCGACAGCAAAAAGGCGGUGGAUUUCGUCGCUGCAUUUUUCUGCAAUAACAACUUACAAUCUACCAGCAUCCAUGGUGAUCGUCUUCAGAGUCAGCGUGAGCAAGCGCUUCGUGACUUCAAAAAUGGUAUUAGGAAUAUUCUCGUGGCGACUAAUGUUGCUGCCUGUGAUAUUGCCGGCGUAAACAAAGUCGUAAAUUAUGACUUGCCAACUGAUAUUGAAAAGUAAAGUCCAUUGACUUUCUCUUUAGGCAAAAUAGUCCUAAUUAUUUUCACUUUCGUGAUCUAAAUGAACUUAAGAGGUGAGAAUCACCAAAUAAAAGCUAUUCAACCCACUUCUCUUUCUACGGCUGAUUGCAUCAUCCGACCCUGUUAAGGGAUUGCGUCACCGGCGUCACACGGGCAUUUCUUUUUUUCUUUUCAAUUUAGGCACUUAUCACGAAGUCUUUACGUCGUUUGAACAUGGUGAUCCAAACAGCUUGCCUCCUUCUUUUCUUUGUGUCCCUAUUGAAUUCUGCAGAGAUCCUACGUGAGUGUGAUACGGAUAUCGACUGUGAGUCGGGUUAUUAUUGUUUCCUCUCGUAUUGUGAACGAUGCAUUCCCUGCGAUACCCAUUUCAAUCGCCAACCGGUGCGAUCGUUGACCGGUCAACCUAUUUGUGCCAGAUACGAAGAUGAUUGUGGAGUUUGCCUACCAGAUAUCAAGCUAACGAAAUAACUCAUCAACGGCGAUCGAUGACAUGCUUCCUACUAAACGAAACGGUCUCGACGUCUACCGUUUUUGGUGGACGGGAAUCGUGUGGAUAGCGUCUGUUCUUUUUUUGACAGUGGCUUUCAUCGUCUGCUUCCUCAAAUGUCGUCGUGUACCAGCUGUUUCCAACAACAAGGAUCCCAGAUUGCUUCCGUCUGCUCCGCCCCUCUACUCCCUAUACGAUGCAAAAUUCACCAACGAAACGGAUGGCCUAGUUGUGUCGGAACCUGUUAGAUCCCCCGAACGGAUAGUGAUACAAGAAAACCAAGGACUUUGCAAUGAAGCUAUUCCAGCCGGCUACUACGACAUUUUCAACAAUCGUCUACACGAUUCGGAUGUAGAACCGGAAGAAGGGGCUCGUGUUUCAAUUCACGUAGCCGUUGAUUCUGAAGUCGAUGAUUAAUCUAAUCAAUCAACUGAGACCAUUCCGUCACCUUGGGAACCGACGUCUUCGAUGUCGGACAUAUCCAACAAUUUCUUUAGAAGUCUAUCAUUGGAAAGAGUACCUCGACCGGCAUCUACAAGUCAACUAGUCCGUUUGCCAAGCGAUAUGGAGAUCCUUUCGAGCAGAAGAAGAAUAGCUUCUGUUGGUGAAAGCCAUAGUCAUCGCACGUCCGCCUCAGCCAGUAUCGAUCGGAAUCACAAACAUCAAAUCAAACAGAAUCGCCAAGUCUAUGGCAGACAGUGAAUCUGAAGAUGAUUUAGGUCGUCGGGACUCUAGUUUGUCUGAAAGCUUUGAAGACGACCAAGAGCCAGAUGCGCCGGAAGCUUUCCUUGUGGUGAGCGAUGAUCCCAGUUUUCCAUCCGUCAUUCUGGAUGUGUCGUGGCCUCGUCAGUCAAGAGCUCUGCAGAGUGUCUCCCGUUUCCUUGGAUCCAUUUUGAGUGAGCCUUCCAGUGAUCAAGGUUCGCAGGAUUCCGGAUUUCAAGAUCAAUCCCGAAGACGUUCGAGAACUAAAGAAGAUUUAUUAGAAGAGAACCGCGUUGACCUUAGUGCAAAAAAGCGGCGCAGAAACUGCUCAGAGAACGAAUAACUCCAAAUUUCUUGAAGUGCCAUACACCUGUUAACUUUA